UGGAAAGGCGCGCGAUACAGGGUGACAGCCCCGUACACAAAAGCGCAUGUGCUGUGAGCUCGAUGAGUAGGGCGGGACACGUGGUAUCCUGUCUGAAUAUGGGGGGACCAUCCUCCAAGGCUAAAUACUCCUGACUGACCGAUAGUGAACCAGUACCGUGAGGGAAAGGCGAAAAGAACCCCGGCGAGGGGAGUGAAAAAGAACCUGAAACCGUGUACGUACAAGCAGUGGGAGCACAGGUUUACCUGUGUGACUGCGUACCUUUUGUAUAAUGGGUCAGCGACUUAUAUUCUGUAGCAAGGUUAACCGAAUAGGGGAGCCGCAGGGAAACCGAGUCUUAACCGGGCGUUAAGUUGCAGGGUAUAGACCCGAAACCCGGUGAUCUAGCCAUGGGCAGGUUGAAGGUUGGGUAACACUAACUGGAGGACCGAACCGACUAAUGUUGAAAAAUUAGCGGAUGACCUGUGGCUGGGGGUGAAAGGCCAAUCAAACCGGGAGAUAGCUGGUUCUCCCCGAAAGCUAUUUAGGUAGCGCCUCGUGAAUUCAUCUCCGGGGGUAGAGCACUGUUUCGGCUAGGGGGCCAUCCCGGCUUACCAACCCGAUGCAAACUGCGAAUACCGGAGAAUGUUAUCACGGGAGACACACGGCGGGUGCUAACGUCCGUCGUGAAGAGGGAAACAACCCAGACCGCCAGCUAAGGUCCCAAAGUCAUGGUUAAGUGGGAAACGAUGUGGGAAGGCCCAGACAGCCAGGAUGUUGGCUUAGAAGCAGCCAUCAUUUAAAGAAAGCGUAAUAGCUCACUGGUCGAGUCGGCCUGCGCGGAAGAUGUAACGGGGCUAAACCAU
rnacentral:rRNA from 1 species